rnacentral:rRNA from 1 species
GACGAACGCUGGCGGCGUGCUUAACACAUGCAAGUCGAACGGAAAGGCCCUGCUUUUGUGGGGUGCUCGAGUGGCGAACGGGUGAGUAACACGUGAGUAACCUGCCCUUGACUUUGGGAUAACUUCAGGAAACUGGGGCUAAUACCGGAUAGGAGCUCCUGCUGCAUGGUGGGGGUUGGAAAGUUUCGGCGGUUGGGGAUGGACUCGCGGCUUAUCAGCUUGUUGGUGGGGUAGUGGCUUACCAAGGCUUUGACGGGUAGCCGGCCUGAGAGGGUGACCGGCCACAUUGGGACUGAGAUACGGCCCAGACUCCUACGGGAGGCAGCAGUGGGGAAUAUGGCACAAUGGGCGGAAGCCUGAGGCAGCAACGCCGCGUGCGGGAUGACGGCCUUCGGGUUGUAAACCGCUUUCGCCUGUGACGAAGCGUGAGUGAAGGUAAUGGGGAAAGAAGCACCGGCUAACUACGU